rnacentral:rRNA from 1 species
UACGGGGGGAGCAAGCGUUGUUCGGAUUUACUGGGCGUAAAGGGCGCGUAGGCGGCCUCUGCAAGUCGACUGUGAAAUCUCCGGGCUUAACCCGGAACGGUCAGCCGAUACUGCAGGGCUAGAGUGCAGAAGGGGCAACUGGAAUUCUCGGUGUAGCGGUGAAAUGCGUAGAUAUCGAGAGGAACACCUGCGGCGAAGGCGGGUUGCUGGGCUGACACUGACGCUGAAGUGCGAAAGCUAGGGGAGCGAACGGG